rnacentral:rRNA from 1 species
UGGCCGUAAACGAUGUGGACUUGGUGUUGGAAUGGCUCCGAGCUGCUCCAGUGCCGAAGGGAAGCUGUUAAGUCCACCGCCUGGGAAGUACGGUCGCAAGACUGAAACUUAAAGGAUUGGCGGGGGAGCACCACAACGCGUGGAGCCUGCGGUUUAAUUGGAUUCAACGCCGGACAUCUCACCAGGGGGCGACAGCAGAAUGAUGGCCAGGUUGAUGACCUUGCCUGACAAGCUGAGAGGUGGUGCAUGGCGUAGUCGUGU